rnacentral:rRNA from 1 species
CGGGAAUAUUGCGCGAUGGAGGAAACUCUGACGCAGUGACGCCGCGUGCAGGAAGGAGGUUUUCGGAUUGUAAACUGCUUUAGACAGGGAAGAUACAAGACAGUACCUGUAGAAUGAGCUCCGGCUAACUACGUGCCAGCAGCCGCGGUAAUACGUA